UACGUAGGGUGCAAGCGUUGUCCGGAAUUAUUGGGCGUAAAGAGCUCGUAGGCGGUCUGUCGCGUCUGCUGUGAAAACUCAGGGCUUAACCCUGAGCUUGCAGUGGGUACGGGCAGACUAGAGUGCGGUAGGGGAGACUGGAAUUCCUGGUGUAGCGGUGAAAUGCGCAGAUAUCAGGAGGAACACCGGUGGCGAAGGCGGGUCUCUGGGCCGUAAACUGACGCUGGAGGAGCGAAAGCGUGGGGAGCGAACAGG
rnacentral:rRNA from 1 species